rnacentral:rRNA from 1 species
AUGGGUGAUCUGAAUGAACUUCUGUAUGAUAUGGAUAAAAGUAAUGCUAAUGUGAAUUAUCAUCACAUGUAUGCUUUUCAUGCUUUGGUUAAGAAUUGUGGGUUUUUUUAUCUGUGAUUUUCGAGGCCUGCUUAUACUUGGACUAAUAGGAUAUUUUCUUCUAAACCUACUUAUGAAAGGCUCGAUAGAGGUUUAGUUAAUCAUUAUUGGUGUUCUUAGUACCCCCUCACUAAAUUUCUUAAUCUUCCUAUUAUUCUUAGUUAUCAUGCUCCCAUCCUUAUCACCACUGAAGGACAGUACAAAAAACCUAAACAAAGCUUCAAGUUUUAUAAUUAG